rnacentral:rRNA from 1 species
AGCGAACGCUGGCGGCAGGCCUAACACAUGCAAGUCGAACGAAGUCUUCGGACUUAGUGGCGGACGGGUGAGUAACACGUGGGAACGUGCCUUUAGGUUCGGAAUAACUCAGGGAAACUUGUGCUAAUACCGAAUGUGCCCUUCGGGGGAAAGAUUUAUCGCCUCUAGAGCGGCCCGCGUCUGAUUAGCUAGUUGGUGGGGUAAUGGCCCACCAAGGCUACGAUCAGUAGCUGGUCUGAGAGGAUGACCAGCCACAUUGGGACUGAGACACGGCCCAAACUCCUACGGGAGGCAGCAGUGGGGAAUCUUGCGCAAUGGGCGAAAGCCUGACGCAGCCAUGCCGCGUGGAUGAUGAAGGUCUUAGGACUGUAAAAUCCUUUCACCGGUGAAGAUAAUGACUGUAGCCGGAGAAGAAGCCCCGGCUAACUUCGUGCCAGCCGCCGCUGUAACAC